rnacentral:rRNA from 1 species
AUUGAACGCUGGGGCAUGCCUUACACAUGCAAGUCGAACGGUAACAGGUCUUCGGAUGCCGACGAGUGGCGAACGGGUGAGUAAUACAUCGGAACGUGCCUAGUAGUGGGGGAUAACUACUCGAAAGAGUGGCUAAUACCGCAUGAGAUCUACGGAUGAAAGCAGGGGAUCGCAAGACCUUGUGCUACUAGAGCGGCCGAUGGCAGAUUAGGUAGUUGGUGGGAUAAAAGCUUACCAAGCCGACGAUCUGUAGCUGGUCUGAGAGGACGAUCAGCCACACUGGGACUGAGACACGGCCCAGACUCCUACGGGAGGCAGCAGUGGGGAAUUUUGGACAAUGGGCGCAAGCCUGAUCCAGCAAUGCCGCGUGCAGGAUGAAGGCCUUCGGGUUGUAAACUGCUUUUGUACGGAACGAAAAGCCCCGGGUUAAUACCCUGGGGUCAUGACGGUACCGUAAGAAUAAGCACCGGCUAACUACGUGCCAGCAGCCGCCGUAA